CCUCCCUGGCAAUGGGAAAGGUGUUGCCUGGUGGCGGUGUCGCUCUUAUAUCUGUCAGGGGCAGAGCAGAUGGCGGUCCUUUGUACAUCCUAGCUUGAUGCCUGGUUUGGUGACCAAAACUGUUUUAUGCCUAGGACACAUGA